rnacentral:RNase_P_RNA from 1 species
CAGGCAAGCCAGGUGGUCGCGGCACCCUGGCGUGCCCCUCGUACCACCGUGGGGCAGGCGGGGUGUCGAGGAAAGUCCGGACACCGCAGAGCAGGGCGCUGGAUAGCAUCCAGCCGGGGAAACCCGAGGGAAAGCGCAACAGAGAGCAGACCGCCAGCGGCCAUCGGCGAGCUCGUACGAGGCCCGAGGAUGGUGCGGGCAAGGGUGAAACGGUGGGGUAAGAGCCCACCAGCGGCCCUGGCGACAGGCCGGCUCGGCAAGCCCCGCUCGGUGCAAGACCAAAUAGAGGAGCGUUCGAGGGUUGCUCGCCCGAUGCUCCCGGGUAUCGGUCGCAUGAGCCGCGCGGUAACGCGCGGUCGAGAUGGAUGACCACCCGCGACAGGAUCCGGCUUACAGGCUUGCUAAAGGG